GUCGGUUCUGUAACUCCAUUAGGAUGCUCAGUCCUAUUAUACACAUCUUUCUGUCAUGGAGUCCAAGAAAACAGUCGGUGUCAUUCAUCCACUGGUUUAUGAACUGUGCAGUGAUGGGCUCAGGGUUGUGUGGAAAUCUGAUGUUCUCUAAGGUGUGCAGAAGUAGGUCAGGAUUGUAAUAGAGUGCAGCUAUGGCAACCUGAAGACACAUGGUACGGAGCUCGCUUGUUUUAACCCCUCUUGUCAACCUCUCCAGAACGGCCUCCACAAAGAGUGGAAUACACUGGGAAUAUAAAGAAGAAGGAAAAAAAGAGCAGGACCUCCUACAAUAACUG
rnacentral:lncRNA from 1 species